rnacentral:rRNA from 1 species
GACGAACGCUGGCGGCGUGCUUAACACAUGCAAGUCGAACGGUGAAGCCCCAGCUUGCUGGGGUGGUUCAGUGGCGAACGGGUGAGUAACACGUGAGCAACCUGCCCCUGACUCUGGGAUAAGCGCUGGAAACGGCGUCUAAUACUGGAUACGAGAAGGGUCCGCAUGGGCACUUUCUGGAAGGUUCUUCGGUUGGGGAUGGGCUCGCGGCCUAUCAGCUUGUUGGUGGGGUAGUGGCUCACCAAGGCUACGACGGGUAGCCGGCCUGAGAGGGCGACCGGCCACAUUGGGACUGAGAUACGGCCCAGACUCCUACGGGAGGCAGCAGUGGGGAAUAUUGCACAAUGGGCGGAAGCCUGAUGCAGCGACGCCGCGUGAGGGAUGACGGCCUUCGGGUUGUAAACCGCUUUCAGCAGGGAAGAAGCGAAAGUGACGGUACCUGCAGAAGAAGCACCGGCUAACUACGUG